rnacentral:lncRNA from 1 species
AUGUGGGACAUCCUGGAAGCCCUCCUCUUCCUGGUCCUCGCCACACUGUGGGGCCUUCAGUGGCCUCUCCCAGACAAGGGUUUCACCAUCAUCUUCCUCGUGUUCCUGCUCUGGGAGAUCCACUGGGGCCAACUGAAAUGGUUGACGACAGAAGAAACAAGAGAUAAUGUGCGUCGUCCCGAUCCGCAGCCGGAGGACGCGCCGGAAAAAGGUACCGUCCCGGCCUUCCCUCUUCCGUUGUCCGUGCCGCCGUCCCCACCUCCGAAGGCCGGAGUUCCAGGGCCUCCUCUCAUCGUCGUUUUUCUAAGGGCGUCUCUUACACGCUUCCUGCCGGAUCCUAGUCUAAGCGCCGGAAUAGAUACGACCUAAGCGACUGGGCCACGAUCCGUGUCUUAGCCCCUCACGGUCUCGGUCCCCAGUUGAUAGAUGAGGUACCUCGAGGCACUGAAAAAUGAAGACAAGAAAGGCAGAUGGGAAGCAAUAUCGCCUAACGGACAGAGCGAGGGCCUCGGAGUCGGCGGGACCUGGGUUCUGAUUUCCACUCGGCCGCUUGUCCGUUGUGUGAUCCGGGACAAGUCGCUUCUCUUCUCUGUGUUGCUUCCUCAACUGUAAAAUGUGGAUACCUGUUCUUCCUCCUACUUAGACUGACCGUGAGUCCCAUGCAGGACGCGGACUGUGUCUAAGCUAAUUAACUUGUACCUAACCCGAUGCUUAGAACACUGUUUGACCCAUAAUGAGUGCUUACCAAAUAACAUUAAAAAAAAGUGGCAGAGUCAGGAUUAGAUUCUUCUGACUCCCAGACCCACACUCUAUCCACUAAGCCAAGGCGCUUCCCUCUUUCCUCUGAAGCGUAUGAUACCAGACCUGAUUGAGCAGCCUGGUUUAAAAGGCUCCGGGCCCUUUUAGGCCCAGAGUCCAAAAUCAGAGCCCAGCUUUAGUGGGGGCCCUGACGAAAUCGGGGGGCCGUCGUUCCACCUUCCCUCGGGGUUGGCCUGGCAGGACCCGGAGGGUGGAGAGCCAGAGCCCUUGGGCAAAUCCCGGCUCCCAGUAGCGGGAAGGGGCGGAACUCACCCUUUUCCAGGAACCCCAAAUAACUUGUUCUCUUGGUUUCUAGUUCUGAGGAUGUUGGAGAUAUGUGACCGAAAUCUCAAGGAAAUUCUACAUCUCCUGAGAAAGUGACUCACUGAUUCUUUUUUCCCGGUCCCUGGGCCGGAGAGAGAGGGGCCCCGGGCCCGGAGAGAGAGGGGCCGGGUCAUCCGAACUCCCGCCCCGCCAACUCAUCCCUCCCCCUCCCCGGGGCUGCAGGCGUCGCCGGGACCCCAGCCACACUCCAGAGAGGGGAGAGGCACGCCGGCCAACACCGCAGCGGACCCCUGGUGCCUGUACUGCCGGCCAAGGCCCGACCCCCCGCUCAGUCCGAUGACCUUAGAGCUUAGAACCCGGGCCAGGUGUGGACCAGCAGGACACACGGAUGACACCGGGGGACGUUCCCGGGCGGGUACAGGCGUGGAUCGGCUCAAUCUCCAAACGUCGGACCACGGAAUCGGGCCCCACGGAUCUGCCGAGAGGCGCCUCGGGGGAAGGGACGAAGCCGAGCUCCUCCUCGUCUCCGGCGAACACCGGGCCGUUCUCCCCCGAGGGUCUCGCGCCCCUGCGGGUGGGCUUCUCCAGUCUGCUGAGUCAUGGGUCUCACCCCUCUCGACCUCCGAAUCCCCCGAAGGACGUCUUCCCGGGCCCUGGGCCGAAUAGGGCCGAGGACCCCUAAUCUGCAGGACGCUGAACUGCGGAUGGACCAGAACGCGGCUCGGGCUCGGGGGAAUCGGCCCGUCCCCUCCGAAUGACAGAGUCUGGCAGCGUUGAACAUCACUGUCUAUUAAAGGCAGUCACCUCUCUGGGACAGGGCCGUGUCUUCCGUGUCCCCGGGCUGGGUCGCGGGGAAGCGCCGGAACUCGGGACCCACGGGCGGCUGGGUCCGAGAGCUUCUGCACUCUGUGGGGAUUGGGGUCCGUCCGUCUCCCUCCUCGUGUGAGCGGGAGUGUGAGGCUGUGGAAAUCAGGCGUGGACAGUUGUGGGGACGGUCAGGGGUGACCCGGACCGAUCCCCGGGGCCUCAUCUGGACUUGAGAAGCCGCACGGCCUGGUGGACAGGACGCGGGUUCUAAUCCCGACUCCUCCGCUCGUCGCGGGGCGACGCUGGGCGGGUCGCUUCAUUCCUCUGGGCCUCCGUUCCCUCCUCUGUCAAAUGGGGACUGAGAAUGGGAGUCUCCCGUGGGACGGGGACUGGGCCCGACCUGAUUACUCCCCACCUACCCCGGCACCUAAAACAGUGCCUGGUACUUAGCGCUUAACGAGGACCAGAGAGGGGGAAAAAAAACCGUUUUCCCGAACCGACACCGGCUGGCCCAGGCCCCGUGUCCGCCAUAUUGGCCGCGGAGGGGUAGCUCAGGCUCGGGCAGUUGAGACUCGGGGAGAGGAGGGCUUCUUUCUUGGAUCCUUGGUCAGGGACGGUUGCCGGGCUGCGGCCUCGUAGCCAAGUUAACGGGCCCAAGAUUCUUCCCAGGGUGCACUGCGGCCAUGGAACCCAUAACUCCCAUCGCCUCAUUCCAAGCCAGUGCGGGGUCUGUCAACUGUCCACUGUGCUCUCGCUAGUGUUUGGUACAGUUCUCGGCAUGCAGCAAGCCCUCAAUAAAGAGCGUCGACCACCACUGAAUUAAAAACCAUCUUUUUAAUCAGUGAUCCCUGGGACCGGAGAUAGACUUCCCAAGAGCCCCAGAGUCAAGACGAAGCUCUUGAAAGAGUGGGAAGGGCCCGUCGGGCCUCUGCCAACUUGGCCCUAUUUUGCACCGAGGUGGACCAGCUAUUCCUUUGGAAACCUCACGGGCGUGUUUUUGUAUUUCCUUGCAACGACGCUGAGUACAUGUUUGUUCACUCUCCUAGAGAGCCGCUCGCUCCCCGCCCCACGGGACCUAAGUAAAUAUCCUUAUACUCUACUAUUUCUCUCCCAUCUGUCAUUCAGUUGUCCGUCUGCCUCCCCGGCAGACAGAUGUCAACUGUCUGUCUGCCUCCCCGGCUAGCCUGUAAGGUUUUUGUGGGUUUUUGGGUGGUACGCUCCCAAAUGUUGAGCACGGGGCCCUGGACACACGGUGAA